rnacentral:rRNA from 1 species
CAAACUGCGGUGAAUACGUUCCCGGGUCUUGUACACACCGCCCGUCAAACCAUGAAAGUCACCGACACCCGAAGUCCGAUUCGUCGGCCUAAGGUGGGGGGGAUGAUUGGGGUU